AUAGUGUCUCGGUCUGUCGCUUGUAGCAAUACAAGAGGAAAGUCCGGGCAGCGCAGGGCACUCCACUUACGAAAGGUAAGCUGUUGGUAACAGCAGGUCAGAGUAGAAGAAAAUAACCGCCGCAAGGCAAGGGUGAGAAGGUGAGGCAAGAGCUCACCAGCAGAUGGGCGAUCAUCUGGCUGUACUCGCUGGAGGCUGCAAGUUCAUGUAAACUGCCGUUCUGAGGGUUGCCCGCCCAAGGCAGAGGGUAGAAUGCUUAGAUAAAUGACAGACACUCUUUCCCCGACCCAACCCAAAAGAGUACAGAACCCGGCUUAUAGAGACACUAUUUUU
rnacentral:RNase_P_RNA from 1 species